UUGAACCAUCCUGAGAUCUGGUGGCAUCUGAAUUUUUCUUGUUGACAGGCACUUGAAUAGAAAUCUGAGGUCAUG